rnacentral:rRNA from 1 species
UACGUAGGGGGCGAGCGUUGUCCGGAAUUAUUGGGCGUAAAGAGCUCGUAGGCGGCUUGGCAAGUCGGAUGUGAAAACUCCAGGCUCAACCUGGAGCCGCCAUUCGAUACUGCUAUGGCUAGAGUCCGGUAGGGGAGUGUGGAAUUCCCGGUGUAGCGGUGAAAUGCGCAGAUAUCGGGAGGAACACCUGUGGCGAAAGCGGCUCACUGGACCAUAACUGACGCUGAUGCACGAAAGCUGGGGGAGCAAACAGG